UACGUAGGGGGCAAGCGUUGUCCGGAAUCAUUGGGCGUAAAGAGCGCGUAGGCGGUCCGGUAAGUCCGCUCUGAAAGUCCGGGGCUCAACCCCGGGAGGCGGGCGGAUACUGUCGGGCUAGAGUCCGGAAGAGGCGAGUGGAAUUCCUGGUGUAGCGGUGAAAUGCGUAGAUACUGGGAGGAACACCAGUGGCGAAGGCGGCUACCUGGACCGGUUCUGACGCUGAGGCGCGAAAGCGUGGGUAGCAAACAGG
rnacentral:rRNA from 1 species